UACAGAGGCCCCAAGCGUUAGGCGGAAUCACUGGGCUUAAAGCGUGUGUAGGCGGGUCUUUAAGUCAGGGGUGAAAUGCCAAGGCUCAACCUUGGAACUGCCUUUGAUACUGGAGACCUUGAGUCCGGGAGAGGUGAGUGGAAUUGCGAGUGUAGAGGUGAAAUUCGUAGAUAUUCGCAAGAACACCAGUGGCGAAGGCGGCUCACUGGCCCGGAACUGACGCUGAGAUGCGAAAGCGUGGGGAGCAAACAGG
rnacentral:rRNA from 1 species